GUCCUGCUUUUUUGUACACUGUAAGGAUGGAAUCCUGACUGGCAUCCCUCAUAAACUGUUCUGCUAAUGCUUCUGGGGAUAAACUUGAGCGGUGCAGCUGAUGCUGCCAAGGCUCUGGGUGCAUUUUGUCAGCUGAUUCCGGACGUGUUUACCGCCUCCUUCCUGAGGAGACUUGCUCAACUCUCGGCUCCCACGAAGAGCCUGGCAGUGGGACUUGUCCCUGCCCUGCCACAUGGAAGGACGGGGUCAUUCUGGGGGCCUCGUUCCCAUGCCUGCUCCUCGCUCCAUCUUUCCCCUCUUCUCUCUUCCUGUUUCUGCUUCUUUGGCUCUGCUUUCUCUUGGUUUUGGUGGAGAGUUGAGCUCAUUUCACACAUGUGAUCACUUGAUGUAGUGCAUUCCUAACUUUUCAGGUCUGGGGUGUUAACGACAGCAGGCUCUGUUCUGGCCUUUAGCAGGUAUUUUCUCACCAUUUGAAUUCUUCUGGCGUGUACUUCAAUGCGUUCUUCUAAAGUAUCUUCACUUGCCUUUCUCGCCUUCAAAGGAGCUGGUGCUCAGAGUGAGAAAUAGGAGCAGCACCUUGGUGUGUGAAGUGAAUGGUGGUGGCUCAGGAUGAAGUUGUCUGUUCCAGAAUGUCCCCAUGGACUGUCCCCUGUGGUUUCCAUGAACAACCCUGGGGCUCCACACCCAGGCUAAGAUCAAGGAAAGACCAACUGCAUGAUGAGACAGUGCAUAGACAGAACAGGGCCUCCAGUACAUGUCCACCCGGAACCAAGUUAACAUGAGGUGGCACUAGGUCAGGCUGUCUCCAAACCAAUGACUUAGGUCUUUGUAAGGAAAAUGUAGGGAGAUUUGAGAUGCAGAUACAGAGGAGGAUGACAUGUAAGAAUGGAGGCAGAGAUGGGAACAAUGCAGAAAUGAGCUGAGAAUUCCCAGCAGCCAACAGAUGCCAGAAGAGACAAGGAAGGUCUUCCUCCAUGGGAACGUGG
rnacentral:lncRNA from 1 species